UUUUAAAUGGCCGCAGUAUUUUGACUGUGCAAAGGUAGCAUAAUCAUUAGUUUUUUAAUUAAAAGCUUGUAUGAAAGGCUGGACGAGGUAAAAUCUGUCUCUAUUUAAAUUAUAAUAGAAUUUAACUUUUAAGUUAAAAGGCUUAAAUAUUAUUAAAAGACGAGAAGACCCUAUAGAUCUUUAUAAUUUAUUAAGUUAAAUUAAUUUAGAAAUAUUAAUGUUUUAUUUAAUUAAAUUAUUUUAUUGGGGUAAUAAAAAGAUUGAAUUAAUUCUUUUUUUUAAUAAACAUUAAUAUAUGAAUAUUAAUGAUCCAGUUUUACUGAUUAUAAGAUUAAGUUACCUUAGGGAUAACAGCGUAAUUUUUUUAGAGAGUUCAUAUCGAUAAAAAAGUUUGCGACCUCGAUGUUGGAUUAAAGAUUAUUUUAGGUGUAGAAGCUUAAUAAUUUUGGUCUGUUCGACCAUUAAAUCUUUACAUGAUCUGAGUUCAGACCGGCGUAAGCCAGGUCGGUUUCUAUCUUUAAUAAAAUAGAAUAUUUUAGUACGAAAGGACCAAAUAUUUAAUAUAUUUAUAUUUAAUUUAUUGAAUAUUA
rnacentral:rRNA from 1 species